CUGCAACAUUCAGUAUAUAUGGUCACUUGAAAAUGUGCACGCGUAAUCAGCAAACACGUACAUUUUUCUCGGAACACGGUUUCACGAAUUGGACCGACGAGAAGAUAGAUACUUACACUUUAUCAUCUGUGUGAAAUCGGAAAAGAAAGAAAGUACAGGAAAGAGAGAAUAGUUAAAGAGGAUUAACACGUUUGGAAAAGUAGAAACGAUGUGUCAUAGAGUGGCUAUAUCCCGCAGGAAAGGCUGCAGACACUGCGGCAGAGUCGCUGAACCGUCAGAAAAAAAAAGUUACAAGUAUAUCGUCAACGGGUGCUCAACAAGUAUCGACGCCGAAACGUUCCGAAUCAAUCACGCUGAGCGCCGAUCUGUCGAGACGGCGGGACAUCUUACAAAGCCCCGGCGAUAAAUGACUGCACGCCCUAGACGACACGCGUUAUAAAGCGCAAUGACGAGAGCGAAACGGAACGGCGGGGAAAACGGGCGCGUAGGCAAAUGCACAUUGCUCCGUUCGACCUCUCGUGAACGUGAGUAUGUAAAGGAGCGAGAGAAGGACGAGAGAAGGGGGAGAAGGAAAAGGAGAGUGGGCGGGCGACGAGAAACAAAGAGAGAAGGGGAUAAUUCGCGAGAACGGGAGGGAAUCGCGCCGAUCGCUUCGCGAAGGCAUACGCCGGUAUUCUCCUACGCGGGGUCGGCCGUACGAAUUUUUCUGCAUCCCUUUGAAGUCGAGCCGCUCAAACUCGAGUUACUAACCGAGUCGCGAAUAUUCGACCCGCAAAACAGGCCCCACAAAACUCGGUCCACUGAUUUCGCGUCUUUGACACUCCGCGUCACUUCCUCAGCGAUCAGACGUGAGGGAACUCGCCCGCGUAAAAAUAUAGCUCGUGUCCCCUCGGUACUACCGCAAACAUCGCGACAAUUAGACGUGAGAAAACGCACGAUUGCUUAAGCUCGCAAUUCGUAUUCCUCUUGGAUACAUACUUUCUAGACGCGAUGACGCGACUGCAAUGAGAACACUUGUCGCGCAGAGAAGCAGUCGGAAGCCGCGAUUUCUCGAUAUGCACUACGCUAUUCGGCGACGAUGAUUGGAUUCAUCAGCCGAUCCAAGAAAUAGUUUUUCAAAAUCAAUCGGUCCUGUGCGAAUCGCUAAAAUUUCGUACUCAAAUUUCAUUUAGCGGACCGGCAACGCGACUCGUCGAACGACAACGCGUAAAACAACGCGAGUAUCGGAUUAUACUCGUUGCCGGCGUCACUUUCGUUAUUUAUGCUCGGGCAUACGGCGGCGUUAGGUUUAAUUUAAUUUGCGUCGUUGAUCUCGGAAUGUUCGUUCGGCCGUGCCGCGCGAAAUAUCAGAGCGCGGCGCGCCCGUAAUUGAAUCUGUAACGGCGAGCAAAUCAGCGCGCGGCCGGCGCGAUCAUUACGUUACACGAGUCGCACGACGUCGAUCGACGUUCGUUAGUCAAUCGUUCGCUUAAUUGCCCGGAGGCCACACAAUAGAACCGUUUGAGCCGCAGCUUUGUGUUUAAAGCGUUAAAUAAACGCCGGCUCGGCCAGGUGGUCGAUCUAAUGGACUAUUGUGCCAAAUCUCUGUUAUUACUAUCAUUUUUCCGGCGAAUUCGCCCAGAUGGCCACGGGACGAAACAACGUUUUACCAUACGGCUCGUUAGUCGAAUCAGCUCGUCGAUGAGCUCACAAACGCGCGGGGACGCGUUGUGGGAGAUCGAACGACUGGCAGUUCCUGCGCGAAUUCCACGAACAUCGCACCCAGUACGCGAAUUGUCUGCUUCUUACAUUCGCAACGAGCUUGCGUGUACGUGCGCGGAGAGCGCAUGUGAGGAAUGUACAAAUGCUGGCGAGUACCUCUCGUCGAAUUAUCGCGAAAACUUGGUGUUUAAUAUAAUAACAAAACGUACAAGUAAUGUAUCAUUGUAUUCGCGAAACACGCGCCCUUCACACAGUCGAACGUUUACCGCGAUAUUAUUUUACCAUUCGGACAAUUCGAGAUCGUGUCUCUGUGUUUCGAGUGAUUAAUUUACUAUUUGUUCUCGCCAGGUUAAGAUAUUAAAGCCCCGGGCUACGCACGAUAUGCGCUUCACUGAGCAACUCGUGAGGACCAUCCAGCCGGCUCACCUUUUGCAUUUAUACCUGGGAUAAAUAAACCGUGCAAGUAACUCCGCGCGGCGUUUCGGCGAAACGGAAAAGUUAGUCGUGGACGAGCUCGCUGCGGCUCAAACGAAACUCGCUGGACGCGGCGCUUCGGACGCUGCAUCAUUACACGAGGAGGACGAGGGACGAGCGGCGCAAAUUUGCCGUUGGUGCGUCAGCCGCGACGCCGCGAUAAUUGGGUUUUACUUCAGGCUCGCUUGAAUAAUCCAAACGGCGCGCAAAGUGCACAUCGCGCGUCCUUGCGCGCCGCGAUCCCGCCCGCAGGAGCCGCGCGCGACAUUAGCGUCACCGUCGCGGGCGGGUGACAAAUUUUGCAAAGCGCCCUUCGGUCCACCCUCUCCGCCCUCUCUCGGUAUCGGGGAAUUAUUAAUGCGUUUCCCGAAAGUGGUUACGAGGCGAACGAGCGAGCGAGCGAACGCGUGCGAAAUUAGCGAGCUGCAAAACGGCGCGCUCGGCUACAAGCGGAUUCCGAUCGAGAUAAUGAAAAUUAACGACGUUAAAGCGCCGUCACGCCUGCAAUUAAUUAUCGCCCGGAAGCGGCCCGUGGCUGCUGCCGAUCGGUCCACGGCUGCGCCGGACCCUCGUCUCUUCUCUUCUCUCUAUUGCUACAACAUAAUCGCGAUAUCAAUCCUUCAUUAAUUCCCCGACCAAAGGACGGCCCGUCGUCCAGGACUCCUCCAUGCGCGAGCGCGAUUAAUUCUGCGGGGUGCUCUAUAAGGCUUCACAGAGGAUGUCCCGCCAUCGCCUGAUAUUAAUGACGCGUCACCUGUGUUAAUGUACAGUUUUAUGGUCAGAAGAGCCGCGCGGAGCGUGGCUGUCGAGACUCAUCGGUCGAGAAUCGCCCGCUCUGCGUUCACCUCAUGUUUGUUGGAUUAGAUUUUGCGACGAUUGUGCCGCCCACGAUCUUUGCAGGAUAAAAUUUGCAAAUACAGACAUUAGCGGAGACCGUUGAGUAAUGAUAUCGAUUAUCGUUAUUCUGUUCAUUAUUUCGACUUGCGACCCGUUCAUCAUCUAUUCGGCGUAAUGCGCUCCAUUGUACAAAUAAAAAGGAUCUUCAUAACGCGCGUUAAUACACAUGAUCUCGAUUUCGACGAUAAAGAGAAUAGGGUUAGAGAGGACACGAAGUUACAGUGGAUAAUUCAAAUUCCAUGCUUAAAUAAAGAGGAGCAAUUCUGGAAGAUAUACACACACCGUUGGGGCGCAUUUCGCUUUACUGUCAUUAUAUAGAGUUUCCGGGGGACAGUCUUUGUACACAUAAAGAGAGAGAGAGAGAGAGAGAAUCAUCGAGCUCAAUGAAUUAUACAUCGCGCUACAGCGGCACCCUCGCUACCAAGUUCCUCGCGGUGGAUAGCCGCCGUCACACGCGCGCGAGAUAAGACCAGCAAACGGAACUCUUAAUAAAACGAUAGUGAUAGCUAAACAUCCCGGCAGCGUGACGACCACUUCCCUUUCGUUGGGCGACGAUCCAAAGUCGUUCGAGUUGAUUGUUCAUUACAUUCUGGGCCGCGCGUUUUCGGAAACUCAGACUUUUUUUCGCGUUUUUUACUCGAUGUCCACAUCACUCCACACACAUGAAUGUGAAUUAUCCAAAGCAUAAAUGAUAAGCUUUGUUUCAAGUAUCACCCUUGUAGCGUAAUAAAAUCUUUAAUUUCGCUAACAA